AUGCAAUUUUUUUGCUUGGUUAGUCACUCAAACAGGAUUUGGACAGCAGAUAGACUUCAGCAUAGAGGAUGGCCCAAUUGCGAUCAAUGCCCUCUUUGUAGCCAAGUGCAGGAAUCGGCGGCCCACCUCCUUUUCAAGUGCCGGUUUGCAACUUGCGCCUGGAAGGAGGUGUUCUCAUGGCUGGAUCUUCAAGUUGACACGACGAAUUGGCAUAUCUUCACCACGGUUAAAGCUUGGUGGCAAGGAAUCAUCAACAUUGCUCAUCAAAGAAAGGCUCUCUCAUCGUUGAUCCACCUUGUUGGAUGGGAGAUUUGGAAAGAAAGAAAUGCGCGCGUCUUUAGAAAUAAAGCGGCACCAGUGGCCGUCAUUGUUAACCUUAUUAUGGAGGAGGCAGCGCUUUGGGCUAUUGCGGGUGCCAAGCAUUUGUGUAAUGUAAUGCCGCGAGAGUAA
rnacentral:rRNA from 1 species